UUUUGUCAAUCAUAACCUAUUGAUCCCAAUAGGUUCUCUUAUAGCUGUAGUAUUUCUGUCAGAGCCAAUCAGUGCAUGUUGUUCCCCAGUACUAUUCCCCAACUGCUUGUUCUCACUGGUAUGCUGUUGAAUAGUAGUCCCAAUAGUACUAUUCCCCAACUGCAUUAUCUCACUGGUAUGUUCUGGUUGAACUGGCAUGCUUGCCUUUGCAUCUGCACAAGUCUUAGGAAUCCAUUCUUGUUUAGUAAAUUUGACCUGUUUUUGCAUUAUGGUUCUCUGUCUUCUUUUCUUUUCCUGCUCACCAAUAUCAUGUUCUACAUCAUUGCCUGCAUUAUGCCAGCAGUCAACAGAGUCAUGGCCAAAUUUCAGGCAAUGGUUGCAAAAACUAGGUUUCCA
rnacentral:lncRNA from 1 species